rnacentral:rRNA from 1 species
GACGAACGCUGGCGGCGUGCCUAAUACAUGCAAGUAGGACGCAGUUGCGAACGGGUGAGUAACGCGUAGGUAACUACCUAUUAGAGGGGGAUAACUAUUGGAAACGAUAGCUAAUACCGCAUACUAGUAGAUGGACCUGCGUUGUAUUAGCUAGUAGGUAGGGUAAUGGCCUACCUAGGCAACGAGACAUAGCCGACCUGGUAGGGUGAUCUGCCACACGGUGACUGAGAAAAGGCCCAGACUCCUACGGGAGGCAGCAGGAGGGAAUCUUCGGCAAUGGGGGGAACUCUGACCGAGCACCGCCGCGGGAGUGAAUAAGUUUUUCGGAUCGUAAAGCUCUGUUGUUAAGGAAGCGGUACUUAACCAGAAAGGGACGGCUAACUACGUGCCAGCAGCCGCGGUAAUAC